rnacentral:pre_miRNA from 1 species
UUUAAGUGUAACUGUGCCUUUUUUUUCCAAAGUUUGACCGUCUAUCUUAUUUGAAAUUUUUUAUGUUUAGUAUUUUUACUAUUAUUAGAUGAUAAAAUAUGAAUAACAUUUUAUACGUGACUUAUUAUUUUUUAUUUUUAUAAUUUUUAGAUAAGAGGAACAGUCAAACAUUAUAUAUAGAAACCAACGCACUUAAA